UACGGAGGUUGCAAGCGUUAUCCGGAUUUAUUGGGUUUAAAGGGUGCGUAGGCGGGAUUAUAAGUCAGUGGUGAAAACCUGCAGCUUAACUGUAGAACUGCCAUUGAUACUGUAAUUCUUGAGUAUAGUUGAGGUGGGCGGAAUGUGUAGUGUAGCGGUGAAAUGCUUAGAUAUUACACAGAACACCGAUUGCGUAGGCAGCUCACUAAACUAAAACUGACGCUGAGGCACGAAAGCGUGGGGAUCAAACAGG
rnacentral:rRNA from 1 species